UUCCGUAGGUGACCUGCGGAAGGAUCAAUAUUGAAUAAACUUGAGCAGGCUGUUGCUGGCCCCUUGUGGGUAUUGUGCACGUCUGCCAUCUUUACUUCUCCAACUGUGCACACACUGUAGACCUGGAGCUAUUGAUUACAUUUAUGUAGAUUGAGGACUGCUAGCCAUUUUUGGCCUAGCUCUGCCUUGUGUUUCCAGAUUUAUGUUUUUCACAACCUCUAAAAUGAAUCUAGAAUGUUGAAUUGGGUCAUUUGUACCUAUAAAGUUGAAUAUACAACUUUCAGCAACGGAUCUCUUGGCUCUCGCAUCGAUGAAGAACGCAGCGAAAUGCGAUAAGUAAUGUGAAUUGCAGAAUUCAGUGAAUCAUCGAAUCUUUGAACGCACCUUGCGCUCCUUAGUAUUCUGAGGAGCAUGCCUGUUUGAGUGUCAUUAAGUUCUCAACCAUACUAAUUUUAUCUAUUGGUGUGGCUUGGUUAUGGGGGAUAUUUUUUGCAGGCCUAAAAGAAAGGUCUGCUCCCCUGAAAUGCAUUAGUGGUAUCUGGAGCAGAGACAACUAUUGGUGUGAUAACUAUCUAUGCCUUUGGUGAACUGCAUAAACAGAGUAAACUGCUUACAACUUGUGAAACCCUUGUUAGGGACAC
rnacentral:rRNA from 1 species